AUAUUCAGAAUAGUGUCAAAGGAAAUAGGUUGGCAGGUGGAAACCGAAGAGAAGAAAUAGUGAUAACAAGGUUAAGGUUGGGUCAUUGUUUGUUAAAUAAAACUCUUAAGUUGAUGGGCAAGCAUCAAACAGGAUUGUGUGAAGAAUGUCAAGUGGAGGAAUCAGUAGAGCAUGUAUUAAUAGAGUGUCAGAGAUAUCUAGAACAAAGAGGCAAAAUGAGUAUUGACUUGAGGGAGAUGGGAGUACAGGAGCUCACUCUAAAAAGUUUACUGGGUGGUAAUGGUAGGGCGCAGUUUAGAGUACUGAUGACUUUUUUGAAGGAGACAGGGCUAUAUAGUAGGAUUUGAGAUAGUUACAGGGAAAGGAGGGAGGAUAUUUGAUUGGAUAAAGUAGGGUAAAGUAGAAUUUGUAUAUAAAAUAGGGUAAAGAAGAAUAUGUAGGAAUUGUUUAAAGUAAUGAAGUUAUAAUGGUGGUAAUGUAGGAGUGUAGGAGAUUGAGAAGAAAAGAGUAGACCUAUUAUCAGGUCCACAUUCCGGAACAGAGGGGGCGGUAAUGCUCCAUUAAGUUGGAUGCCAACCGCCGGUAAAAAAGAAAGAAGAAGAAGAAGAAGAAGACGCUUCGUGGGAUGCAUUUAUUGCAAGUUACCUGGAGGAGCUGGCAGAAACUGGACAAUUCAAAGGAGCUAAUACUGAAGAGGCAUCUGAUGCUGCUGAGUAAAAAAUGGUGCAAAAAUGGAGAUGUAUUCCUGAGUACUCCUGCCCUGAGAGCAGCACAUAGUUUAUUAAAAUAACAGUAAUAUGAAUAUUGAGUACUCCUGGCCUGAGAGCAGCGCAUAGUACACUAAAAAUAACUGUAAUAUGAAUAUUGAGUACUCCUGGCCUGAGAGCAGCGCAUAGUACACUAAAAAUAACAGUUAUAUGAAUAUUGAGUACUCCUGCCCUGAGAGCAGUGCUAAUGCUAAUGCUAACGAUAACUGACUGAUGAAA
ensembl:lncRNA